UAUGUAGUGCUCAUUUUGUUAU
rnacentral:siRNA from 1 species